UACGGGGGGGGCAAGCGUUGUCCGGAAUUAUUGGGCGUAAAGGGCUCGUAGGCGGUCUGUUGCGUCGGGAGUGAAAACUCAGGGCUUAACCCUGAGCCUGCUUCCGAUACGGGCAGACUAGAGGUAGGCAGGGGAGAGCGGAACUCCUGGUGUAGCGGUGGAAUGCGCAGAUAUCAGGAGGAACACCAAUGGCGAAGGCAGCUCGCUGGGACGGUACUGACGCUGAGACGCGAAAGCGUGGGGGAGCAAACAGG
rnacentral:rRNA from 1 species